GCAGGUGCAGAAGGAUAUGAGAUGGCUUAGCUUAGCCUGCAAGGAAAACUAAUCAGAAGAAAACAAACUAAUCUAUAAAAAGAGCCACACACUCUCUUUUUCUUAUUCAUCAAUCACCUCUCUUUCUCCCCCCUUCUUUCUUUCUUUCUUUCUGCCUCCUCUUGGUGUUGCAGGAAUUAAAGCAAUAAGCGAGGAAGAUGUACGCUCCGAUGGGGUCACAGGAGAUGUCUUACUUGGAGCACGUCCACAGGCGCCACCAUGAGAAAGGCUUCCUCUAUGCCUGUUUGUUUGCGUUGUGUUGCUGCUUCUGCUGCUUUGAGACCUGCGAGUGCUGCCUCGACUGCCUCUGCUGCUGCUGCUGCAACUAGGAAUUAAUCAAUCAAUGUCAAGGAACAGCAGCUGAUGGAAGAAUGAAUGCAAUCCAUUAUAUAUGGCAUUUAAUCCACAAUAAAACUUAUGGGCUCA